rnacentral:rRNA from 1 species
CCUACGGGAGGCUGCAGUGAGGAAUAUUGGUCAAUGGACGAGAGUCUGAACCAGCAAAGUAGCGUGAAUGAUGACUGCCCUAUGGGUUGUAAGCUUCUUUUAUAUGGGCAUAAAAUGUUCCACGUGUGGGAUUUUGUAUGUCUCAUAUGAUUCAGGAACGGCUAACUCCGUGCCAGCAGCCGCGGUAAUACGGAGGUUCUGAGCGUUAUCCGGAUUUAUUGGGUUUAAAGGGAGCGUAGGUGGAUUGUUAGGUCAGUUGUGAAAGUUUGCGGCUCAACCGUAAAAUUGCAUUUGAAACUGGCAGUCUAGAGUACAGUAGAGGUGAGUGGAAUUCGUGGUGUAGCGGUGAAAUGCGUAGAGAUCAGGAAGAACUCCAAUGGCGAAGGCAGUUCACUGGACUGUAACUGACACUGAGGCUCGAAAGUGUGGGGAUCAAACAGGAUUAGAUACCCCUGUAGUC